UCUAGUUCAUAUCCUUUAACAGAGAAUCUGGGGAGAUGAUGACCAUACUGACCUCAAAUGUUGUACUUCCCUGUCAGAGUGUCCUGGAAUUGUGAGGAGCCUAUGUAGUACUCUGAAGGGCAGCAGCAGUAAUUCCAUAAGAUUAGAACAAAGACGGAUGUAUAAAUAUUGAGCAUCUCCAAGGAACCAUAAAGCAGUAUGACAAAGAAUAUGAGAUAUCUCAGGAACUGUUUUAUUUACAACUGUCUGUUUGUAUUCACUUUCUGGGACAAUAUUGGCCUGGCUAAGAAAAAUGAACUCUUUGCAUCUGUUCCUAACAAUUUUCUAGAAGAUGGUUUGGACAAAAAAAAUAUGAGUUUUCCACACUCAUACGCAAAUAAUCAGCACUACAAAGCUGAUUAUGGUUGGGUUGUGAUAGAAAAUACUACGGAAAGCCUAUCAUUGUCAGAAAUCGCAGAUGACAAUGUAAGAAAAUUAAUAACUUUACUAUCUAAAU
rnacentral:lncRNA from 1 species